rnacentral:rRNA from 1 species
CCUGGUAGUCCACGCCGUAAACGAUGUCUACUUGGAGGUUGUGCCCUUGAGGCGUGGCUUCCGGAGCUAACGCGUUAAGUAGACCGCCUGGGGAGUACGGCCGCAAGGUUAAAACUCAAAUGAAUUGACGGGGGCCCGCACAAGCGGUGGAGCAUGUGGUUUAAUUCGAUGCAACGCGAAGAACCUUACCUGGUCUUGACAUCCACAGAAGAAUCCAGAGAUGGAUUUGUGCCUUCGGGAACUGUGAGACAGGUGCUGCAUGGCUGUCGUCAGCUCGUGUUGUGAAAUGUUGGGUUAAGUCCCGCAACGAGCGCAACCCUUAUCCUUUGUUGCCAGCGGUCCGGCCGGGAACUCAAAGGAGACUGCCAGUGAUAAACUGGAGGAAGGUGGGGAUGACGUCAAGUCAUCAUGGCCCUUACGACCAGGGCUACACACGUGCUACAAUGGCGCAUACAAAGAGAAGCGACCUCGCGAGAGCAAGCGGACCUCAUAAAGUGCGUCGUAGUCCGGAUUGGAGUCUGCAACUCGACUCCAUGAAGUCGGAAUCGCUAGUAAUCGUGGAUCAGAAUGCCACGGUGAAUACGUUCCCGGGCCUUGUACACACCGCCCGUCACACCAUGGGAGUGGGUUGCAAAAGAAGUAGGUAGCUUAACCUUCGGGAGGGCGCUUACCACUUUGUGAUUCAUGACUGGGGUGAAGUCGUAACAAGGUAACCGUAGGGGAACCUGC